rnacentral:rRNA from 1 species
UACAGAGGGUGCAAGCGUUAAUCGGAAUUACUGGGCGUAAAGCGUGCGCAGACGGUUGCGUAAGUCAGAUGUGAAAGCCCCGGGCUCAACCUGGGAAUGGCAUUUGGGACUGCAAGGCUGGAGUGCGGCAGAGGAGACUGGAAUUCCUGGUGUAGCAGUGAAAUGCGUAGAUAUCAGGAGGAAUACCGAUGGCGAAGGCAGGUCUCUGGGCUGACACUGACGCUCAUGCACGAAAGCGUGGGGAGCAAACAGG